rnacentral:rRNA from 1 species
GUGGGGAAUAUUGGACAAUGGGCGAAAGCCUGAUCCAGCCAUGCCGCGUGUGUGAAGAAGGUCUUCGGAUUGUAAAGCACUUUAAGUUGGGAGGAAGGGCAGUAAGUUAAUACCUUGCUCUUUUGACGUUACCGACAGAAUAAGCACCGGCUAACUUCGUGCCAGCAGCCGCGGUAAUACGAAGGGUGCAAGCGUUAAUCGGAAUUACUGGGCGUAAAGCGCGCGUAGGUGGUUUUGUAAGUUGGAGGUGAAAUCCCCGGGCUCAACCUGGGAACUGCCUCCAAAACUGCAUGACUAGAGUACGGUAGAGGGUAGUGGAAUUUCCUGUGUAGCGGUGAAAUGCGUAGAUAUAGGAAGGAACACCAGUGGCGAAGGCGACUACCUGGACUGAUACUGACACUGAGGUGCGAAAGCGUGGGGAGCAAACAGGAUUAGAUACCCCAGUAGUCC